GAUGAACGCUGGCGGCGUGCCUAACACAUGCAAGUCGAACGGUGCAGCGGACACCGAAGGGAACGGUUUACCGGAUCCUGAGGAUCCUCUGCAUAGUGGCGGACGGGUGAGUAACGCGUGGGCAACCUGCCCUGUACAGGGGGAUAACACUUAGAAAUAGGUGCUAAUACCGCAUAAGCCCCUCCGGCCGCAUGGGCGGAGGGGGAAAGCGCACACGGUACAGGAGGGGCCCGCGUCUGUUUAGCUGGUUGGUGGGGUAACGGCCCACCAAGGCGACGAUCAGUAGCCGGCCUGAGAGGGCGGACGGCCACAUUGGGACUGAGACACGGCCCAAACUCCUACGGGAGGCAGCAGUGGGGGAUAUUGCACAAUGGGGGGAACCCUGAUGCAGCGACGCCGCGUGAGUGAAGAAGUAUCUCGGUAUGUAAAGCUCUAUCGGCAGGGAAGAAAAUGACGGUACCUGACUAAGGAGCCCCGGCUAACUACGUGCCAGCCGCCGCGGUAACAC
rnacentral:rRNA from 1 species